rnacentral:rRNA from 1 species
CCUGGGAACUGCGUUNUGAACUGGCAAGCUAGAGUGUNUCAGAGGGGGGUAGAAUUCCACGUGUAGCAGUGAAAUGCGUAGAGAUGUGGAGGAAUACCGAUGGCGAAGGCAGCCCCCUGGGAUAACACUGACGUUCAUGCUCGAAAGCGUGGGUAGCAAACAGGAUUAGAUACCCUGGUAGUCCACGCCCUAAACGAUGUCAAUUAGCUGUUGGGCAACUUGAUUGCUUAGUAGCGUAGCUAACGCGUGAAAUUGACCGCCUGGGGAGUACGGUCGCAAGAUUAAAACUCAAAGGAAUUGACGGGGACCCGCACAAGCGGUGGAUGAUGUGGAUUAAUUCGAUGCAACGCGAAGAACCUUACCUGGUCUUGACAUGUACGGAAUCUCUCAGAGACGGGAGAGUGCCUUCGGGAACCGUAACACAGGUGCUGCAUGGCUGUCGUCAGCUCGUGUCGUGAGAUGUUGGGUUAAGUCCCGCAACGAGCGCAACCCUUGUCAUUAGUUGCCAUCAUUAAGUUGGGCACUCUAAUGAGACUGCUGGUGACAAACCGGAGGAAGGUGGGGAUGACGUCAAGUCCUCAUGGCCCUUAUGACCAGGGCUUCACACGUCAUACAAUGGUCGGUACAGAGGGUCGCCAAGCCGCGAGGUGGAGCCAAUCUCACAAAACCGAUCGUAGUCCGGAUUGCACUCUGCAACUCGAGUGCAUGAAGUCGGAAUCGCUAGUAAUCGCAGGUCAGCAUACUGCGGUGAAUACGUUCCCGGGUCUUGUACACACCGCCCGUCACACCAUGGGAGUGGGGGAUACCAGAAGUAGGUAGGAUAACCGCAAGGAGUCCGCUUA